rnacentral:rRNA from 1 species
UACGGAGGGUGCAAGCGUUAUCCGGAUUCAUUGGGUUUAAAGGGUGCGUAGGCGGGCUAUUAAGUCAGUGGUGAAAGCCCCAAGCUUAACUUGGGAACUGCCAUUGAUACUGAUGGUCUUGAGUACAUUUGAGGUGGGCGGAAUGUGUCAUGUAGCGGUGAAAUGCUUAGAUAUGACACAGAACACCGAUUGCGAAGGCAGCUCACUAAACUGUAACUGACGCUGAGGCACGAAAGCGUGGGGAGCAAACAGG